rnacentral:rRNA from 1 species
AUUGAACGCUGGCGGCAGGCCUAACACAUGCAAGUCGAGCGAGCGGCGGACGGGUGAGUAAUGUAUGGGGACUGCCCGCUAGAGGGGGAUAACUACUGGAAACGGUGGCUAAUACCGCAUACUAUCGGAUAACCCAUAUGGGAUUGGCUAGUUGGUGGGGUAAAGGCUCACCUGGGCGACGAUCUCUAGCUGGUCCUAGAGGAUGAUAAGCCACACUGGGACUGGGACACGGCCCAGACUCCGACGGAGGCAGCAGUGGGGAAUAUUGCACAAUGGGCGAAAGCCUGAUGCAGCAAUGCCGGGUGUAUGAAGAAGGCCUUCGGGUUGUAAAGUUCUUUCGGUAGCGAGGCGUUAACUACAGAAGAAGCACCGGCUAACUCCGUGCCAGCAGCCGCGGUAAUUC